CCUACGGGUGGCAGCAGUGAGGAAUAUUGGUCAAUGGCCGUAAGGCUGAACCAGCCAAGUAGCGUGAGGGAAGACUGCCCUAUGGGUUGUAAACCUCUUUUAUGCGGGGAUAAAGGUGUCCACGUGUGGAUGUUUGCAGGUACCGCAUGAAUAAGGACCGGCUAAUUCCGGGCCAGCAGCCGCGGUACUACGGAAGGUCCGGGCGUUAUCCGGAUUGAUUGGGUUUAAAGGGAGCGUAGGCCGGUCUGUAAGCGUGCAGUGAAAUUUUGUGGCUCAACCAUGAGAGUGCGGCGCGAACUGGAGACCUUGAGUGUGAGGAAGGCAGGCAGAAUUCGUGGUGUAGCGGUGAAAUGCGUAGAUAUCACGAAGAACCCCGAGUGCGAAGGCAGCAAGCCG
rnacentral:rRNA from 1 species